AUUGAACGCUGGCGGCAGGCCUAACACAUGCAAGUCGAGCGAGCGGCGGACGGGUGAGCUAUGUAUGGGGCUCUGCCCGAUAGAGGGGGAUAACUAAUGGAAAAGGUGGCUAAUAACGCAUACUACCGGCUGAACCGAUAUGGGAUUAGCUAGUAGGUGGGGUAAAGGCUCACCUAGGCGACGAACUCUAGCUGGUCUGAGAGGAUGACCAGCCACACUGUGACUGAGACACGGCCCAGCCUCCUACGGGAGGCAGCAGUGGGGAAUAUUGCACGAUGGGCGCAAGCCUGAUGCAGCCAUGCCGCGUGUAUGAAGAAGGCCUUAGGGUUGUAAAGUACUUUCAGCAGGGAGGCGUUACCCGCAGAAUAAGCACCGGCUAACUCCGUGCCAGCAGCCGCGGUAAUUC
rnacentral:rRNA from 1 species